rnacentral:rRNA from 1 species
GUUGAACGCUGGCGGAAUGCUUUACACAUGCAAGUCGAGCGGCAGCGCGGGGCAACCUGGCGGCGAGCGGCGAACGGGUGAGUAAUGCAUCGGAACAUGUCCUGUCGUGGGGGAUAGCCCGGCGAAAGCCGGAUUAAUACCGCAUACGUCCGAGAGGAGAAAGUGGGGGACUCGCAAGGGCCUCACGCGAUUGGGUUGGCCGAUGUCCGAUUAGCUAGUUGGUGGGGUAAAGGCCCACCAAGGCGAUGAUCGGUAGCUGGUCUGAGAGGAUGAUCAGCCACACUGGGACUGAGACACGGCCCAGACUCCUACGGGAGGCAGCAGUGGGGAAUUUUGGACAAUGGGGGCAACCCUGAUCCAGCCAUUCCGCGUGAGUGAAGAAGGCCUUCGGGUUGUAAAGCUCUUUUGUCCGGAACGAAACGGGUGCGGUGAAUAUCCGCAUCUACUGACGGUACCGGAAGAAUAAGCACCGGCUAACUACGUGCCAGCAGCCGCGGUAAAAC